rnacentral:rRNA from 1 species
UACAACAUAACAUUAAUGCACUAGAUCCCAUUAUAAAUCUAUAGUUAAGAGCGCUCAAGAUAGAGUAGUACUGGGAUGGGUCACCAACAUGAAGUUAUAUUGUUUUAC